GUAGGUGGCAAGCGUUGUCCGGAAUUAUUGGGCGUAAAGCGCGCGCAGGCGGUCCUUUAAGUCUGAUGUGAAAGCCCACGGCUCAACCGUGGAGGGUCAUUGGAAACGUGGGGGACUUGAGUACAGAAGAGGAAAGCGGAAUUCCAAGUGUAGCGGUGAAAUGCGUAGAGGUUUGGAGGAACACCAGUGGCGAAGGCGGCUUUCUGGUCUGUAACUGACGCUGAGGCGCGAAAGCGUGGGGAGCAAACAGGAUUAGAUACCCUGGUAGUCCACGCCGUAAACGAUGAGUGCUAAGUGUUAGGGGGUUUCCCGCCCCCCUUAGUGCUGCAGCUAACGCAUUAAGCACUCCGCCUGGGGAGUACGGCCGCAAGGCUG
rnacentral:rRNA from 1 species